rnacentral:lncRNA from 1 species
UCCUGUGCUUUGGCAAUAAUAAACCAUUGAAGGGUUGCUGGAUCACAGACUGUUGGGAUGGUAAAGUGUCCAAACUCAUGUAAGCUUGGCGUGUAUCUAUCACUUUCUAGAAUCAUUUGCAAGCCCCUCAGACUCUGUGGAUGAAAAGGCAGUCGGCUGUCGAGUAGUUUGUUAUAGAAAGAGUCCAGAGUGUCAUAGUACUCUUCCAGAGUCAAGAGGGGUUGCAGCUCUUCUAC